rfam:Vitis vinifera, whole genome shotgun sequence of line PN40024, unordered unoriented chromosome 18, chr18_random
GUGGGCAAGCCGAAGUGGUUAUCGGGCAUGACUAGAAAUCAUGUGGGCUUUGCCCGCAUAGGUUCGAAUCCUACCGCUCAUG